rnacentral:misc_RNA from 1 species
GCUCAUGACUUUGCACUUCAGUGUUUCAAUUAGAAGCGGUCUCCUCUUGUUACAGACCGAAUGCGCCGUUAUUAGUCGCGAUAUGAACGUCGAAGUGAUCGGACUCAUAUGAACGCAGAGACUCGUAUUUCGAACACCGUAUCGGCUUCAGCACACGUGUGACGAUAAAUCAUUUUUCGCUUAAGUUGCAAAAUUUUGCACGCGUUAUUCUCUACUGAGGGCUUAUUAGAACUCAACACUUACUCUGCGCUAAUUAAUAUUAAAGCAAUAAAGUUAGAACUUGAUUUGUGAAUAAUUAAACAUUUCGGCUUUGGCCUAUUAGCAAAAUUCCAACAAUAGUCGCAGGUGAUUCUGAAAAUUCGUGUAAUAUAGAACGCGCCUAAAAUGAAGAGUUCUACUGGUAUCUACAGUGUACUUCGGUAUACGAAAUCAUUAAUAUUUGUGAUAUCAAUAUCGGUAGCCUUAUUCACACAAACAACCGCAGAUGAACGAUUCACACGAAGCUCUAACCGAAGCGGGUUAACCGUAUCCACACAUGAUCUCACAAUUAUAGUAAAAAACACAAAAACAUUUGACGUUCUAAUCAGGGAUCCAUUGGAACAGGACGUAUUUGUCCAAUUGGUAAAACAACAUGAGACUUUAGUAGAAUUGGACCCUAACUACUUCACAAUUAGUGCAUCGAAUCCACAAAAUAGAACAGUUAGCGUACGAGGACUCCAACUUGGACACCUAGAAGUUACAGCGACGAGCUUACCCGACGAGUCUUGGAUUGUUGACGAUUUAUUUGUACGCAUAACUGUUGCAAAGUCGGAGCCGAUUAUUUACACAUCAAUCGUGUUCGGUUGGAUUUAUUUUGUGGCCUGGUCCAUCUCGUUCUAUCCGCAGAUUUUCAUUAAUUUUAGACGAAAAUCUGUAAUUGGACUCAAUUUUGACUUUCUAGCACUCAACAUUGUUGGUUUUACACUAUAUAGUGUUUUCAAUUGUGGCCUCUAUUGGGUACCCAGCAUACAGGACGAAUAUGCCAGUCGACAUCCACGUGGUAUGAAUCCAGUUUUAUUGAAUGAUGUCGUAUUCGGUUUACAUGCGAUGUUUGCGACAGCCAUUACAAUUAUCCAGUGCUUUUUAUAUGAGCGCGCCGAACAAAGAGUCUCCAGAAUCGCGUCAGGUAUAUUAGCCGCAAUCGCGAUAAUUGUUUUGGUUACAUUAAUUCUAGCCAUUACUGGUGUUGUGCAGUGGCUGGAUUUUCUAUACUACUGCAGCUACAUUAAACUGGCGAUGAUCAUCAAAUAUGUGCCCCAGGCGCUGAUGAACUAUCGCCGUAAGAGCACUACUGGCUGGAGUAUUGGUAAUAUUCUGUUGGAUUUCACUGGCGGUUUGCUCAGCAUGUUGCAGAUGAUCUUGAACGCAUACAAUUAUAACGAUUGGGUGUCAAUUUUCGGUUCUGUGACGAAAUUCGGCAUGGGUCUAUUCUCCGUGCUCUUCGAUGUGUUAUUUAUUCUUCAACACUAUGUGUUUUACAGUGUUGGCCACACAUUAUUCAUCCAUCAAAAUUAACAUACUUAUGUACACGCACGUGUGAUAUCACAAAAGCAUAGGCAAACAGAUAAAUCAAAGUUUGUUCAAGGCAAAAGUUCAAUAAUUCCUUUAAAAUGGCAAAGCCAACUGAACCCACAGCUCCAUCAAUUCCAUACUACAAACAUACACACAUUGAAGCACCUGCAUACUCAUACCUUUAUAAACGCACUCCCAGCAGCUUUCCAUCUCUACGACUACUAACGCCACAGAAGUGGUUACAGAUAAAGCUG